rnacentral:lncRNA from 1 species
CUUUAGUACACCACUUAGCACAGUGGCGCCUGACACUGAAGGAGACAUCUAGUAAAUGUUUGACUGAAUGGACACACUCAGUUUCAUCUGCCACAGAAUUUGUGUUUGGGGAUAAAUACUUUAUUGUCUCCCAUUUCAUCUGUUACCUCUUCCUUAUUUUGCUUCAGGUCCAUUGUGAUGUUAUUCCAGGAUGCAGCAGACAGCAUACCUCCAUCUCUUGGUUGAUCUUCCUGAAUGGCUGGAGUGCAAAUCUUCUCCACAGUCAGCUGGAGGCAUUUACCAGAGGGGUGAAAGAUAGAAACCAGCUCAUAGGAAAAUAUUCGACAGUGCCCUGUACAUGUAAGUGGACAUGCUUAAAAAUACUUACAAGCAGAGGUAAGAGUAAGGUUUGACAGUGAAAUCAGAAAACAGAACUCCCAUUUAUAGAUUCUAAAGAAAACAAAUUCAUUCUAGCUCAUCAAAUGAUCUCCUGUGUAGUCACAUACUGUGACAGUCAUAGUAUGCCCUCACACUCUCACACGUCAGAGUUCCUG